rnacentral:rRNA from 1 species
UACGAAGGGGGCUAGCGUUGCUCGGAAUCACUGGGCGUAAAGGGUGCGUAGGCGGGUCUUUAAGUCAGGGGUGAAAUCCUGGAGCUCAACUCCAGAACUGCCUUUGAUACUGAGGAUCUUGAGUUCGGGAGAGGUGAGUGGAACUGCGAGUGUAGAGGUGAAAUUCGUAGAUAUUCGCAAGAACACCAGUGGCGAAGGCGGACUCACUGGCCCGAUACUGACGCUGAGGCACGAAAGCGUGGG